rnacentral:rRNA from 1 species
AAAUUGAAGAGUUUGAUCAUGGCUCAGAUUGAACGCUGGCGGCAGGCCUAACACAUGCAAGUCGAGCGGUAGCACAGAGAGCUUGCUCUCGGGUGACGAGCGGCGGACGGGUGAGUAAUGUCUGGGAAACUGCCUGAUGGAGGGGGAUAACUACUGGAAACGGUAGCUAAUACCGCAUAACGUCGCAAGACCAAAGUGGGGGACCUUCGGGCCUCAUGCCAUCAGAUGUGCCCAGAUGGGAUUAGCUAGUAGGUGGGGUAACGGCUCACCUAGGCGACGAUCCCUAGCUGGUCUGAGAGGAUGACCAGCCACACUGGAACUGAGACACGGUCCAGACUCCUACGGGAGGCAGCAGUGGGGAAUAUUGCACAAUGGGCGCAAGCCUGAUGCAGCCAUGCCGCGUGUAUGAAGAAGGCCUUCGGGUUGUAAAGUACUUUCAGCGGGGAGGAAGGCGAUAAGGUUAAUAACCUUGUCGAUUGACGUUACCCGCAGAAGAAGCACCGGCUAACUCCGUGCCAGCAGCCGCGGUAAUACGGAGGGUGCAAGCGUUAAUCGGAAUUACUGGGCGUAAAGCGCACGCAGGCGGUCUGUCAAGUCGGAUGUGAAAUCCCCGGGCUCAACCUGGGAACUGCAUUCGAAACUGGCAGGCUAGAGUCUUGUAGAGGGGGGUAGAAUUCCAGGUGUAGCGGUGAAAUGCGUAGAGAUCUGGAGGAAUACCGGUGGCGAAGGCGGCCCCCUGGACAAAGACUGACGCUCAGGUGCGAAAGCGUGGGGAGCAAACAGGAUUAGAUACCCUGGUAGUCCACGCCGUAAACGAUGUCGAUUUGGAGGUUGUGCCCUUGAGGCGUGGCUUCCGGAGCUAACGCGUUAAAUCGACCGCCUGGGGAGUACGGCCGCAAGGUUAAAACUCAAAUGAAUUGACGGGGGCCCGCACAAGCGGUGGAGCAUGUGGUUUAAUUCGAUGCAACGCGAAGAACCUUACCUGGUCUUGACAUCCACAGAACUUGCCAGAGAUGGCUUGGUGCCUUCGGGAACUGUGAGACAGGUGCUGCAUGGCUGUCGUCAGCUCGUGUUGUGAAAUGUUGGGUUAAGUCCCGCAACGAGCGCAACCCUUAUCCUUUGUU